GUCUCUAUAGUUCAAUGGAUAAGAACACUGCCCUCAUAAAGCGGAGAUAUGAGUUCGAUUCUCAUUAGAGACA
rnacentral:tRNA from 1 species